CGAACCCCAAGUGUUUCAGAACAUGAAGUAAACAAUGGAGAACUGUUCUGCUGCAUCGACGUUCCUGACUGACAGCUUAGAGCUGGAGCUGGGGACGGAAUGGUGCAAACCUCCUUACUUUUCUUGUGCUGUUGACAACAGAGGAGGAGGAAAACAUUUUUCUGGAGAAUCCUACCUCUGCAGCGGAGCCCUUAAGCGAUUGAUUUUGAAUCUUGACCCUUUACCAACUAAUUUUGAAGAAGAUACCUUGGAAAUAUUUGGCAUUCAGUGGGUUACUGAAACAGCAUUAGUGAAUUCAUCUAGAGAACUCUUUCAUUUAUUCAGGCAACAACUGUACAACUUGGAAACCUUGUUACAGUCCAGUUGUGAUUUUGGGAAGGUAUCAACUCUACACUGCAAAGCAGACAAUAUUAGGCAGCAGUGUGUACUAUUUCUCCAUUAUGUUAAAGUUUUCAUCUUCAGGUAUCUGAAAGUACAGAAUGCUGAGAGUCAUGUUCCUGUCCAUCCUUAUGAGGCUUUGGAGGCUCAGCUUCCCUCAGUGUUGAUUGAUGAGCUUCAUGGAUUACUCUUGUAUAUUGGACACCUAUCUGAACUUCCCAGUGUUAAUAUAGGAGCAUUUGUAAAUCAAAACCAGAUUAAGCUUUUUCCACCGUCAUGGCAUUUAUUACAUCUCCACUUGGAUAUACAUUGGCUGGUGCUAGAAAUUCUUUACAUGCUGGGUGAAAAAUUGAAACAAGUUGUAUAUGGUCAUCAGUUUAUGAAUCUGGCAAGUGACAAUUUAACCAACAUCAGCCUAUUUGAAGAACAUUGUGAAACUCUCCUUUGUGAUUUAAUAAGCCUGUCACUCAACAGGUACGACAAGGUUAGGUCUUCUGAAUCAUUAAUGAGUGACCAGUGUCCAUGUUUAUGCAUUAAAGAAUUAUGGGUUCUACUUAUUCAUCUUCUAGACCACAGAAGUAAAUGGUUUGUCUCGGAAUCAUUUUGGAACUGGUUGAAUAAACUACUUAAAACACUGCUUGAAAAAUCAAGUGACCGAAGAAGAUCCUCUAUGCCUGUAAUCCAGUCCAGGGAUCCAUUAGGUUUUAGUUGGUGGAUUAUUACUCAUGUAGCAUCAUUUUACAAGUUUGAUCGCCAUGGAGUACCAGAUGAAAUGGUAAGACUUCAUUUUUUAAAAACUUUCUUAUAUUGUCAAUUAAUAUGUAAUUAUUUGGACAAAUUAGAAAAUAAGUGAGCAGAAACAAGAAAAGUCAGACUACAAUCACAGAGAUAAAUUAUUUAUGUAUAAUGUUUCUGUAAACAUCUUGAAAAAUUAUAAAGUUUAUGUUUUAAUUGUUUAAUUAAAAAAAAUUACUUGUAGAAGAUUUGGUAUGUAGUCCUGGCCCUGCUACUGAACAAUUGUGUGACCCUGAGCAAAUUACUUAAACCUUUCUAGCUUUGUCUUCCGUUAACAAAAAAUCAUGGGAUUGGAUUGUCACAAAGAUUCCUUCUAGUUUUAAAAUCUAUUAUGAUUGGCAAAGAAAUUUCUCGAGGAAUGAAUUACUUAUUUUUGUGAAUAAUUUAAUAAAAGUACUUCAGAAUAGCACUUCUUUAGUGAAGCUUUUUGCUAAGAUAACUUAUUAAACAACCAUGAAGUUUGCUUCAAAUACAAAGAGAUUUUAACUAGUAUAUUAAUUUCUCAUUAGAAACAUUUUUUACAGUGUUACUUAAAAACCCUAUGAAUAAAAUCAGCUAACAGAUGUUUACUUUGAAGCCCUAUUUUUAUACAAUUUCUACCAUAUUCAGAAAUUAAUAGUAUUGUAUUAUUGUAUCAGCCUAUCAGCUCCAUAAAAUAAGCAUCUAGAAUCAUGAAGCCAACUUGUCUAUAUUUUCAAAAUUGCCAUUUUUUAUGGCAGUGGUUACCAAACCUGGCUGAUCAUUAGACUUGUGAGUUUUAAAAAAUCCAGGUAUCUAGUCCAGCUGCAGUGGCUCAUGCCUAUAAUCCCAGCACUUUGGAAGGCCAAGGCGGGUGGAUCACUUGAGAUCAGGAGUUUGACAUCAGCCUGGCCAAUGUGGUGAAACCCUGUCUUUACUAAAAAUACAGAAAUUAGCAGGGCAUGGUGACGCACACCUGUAGUCCCAGGUACUUGGGAGACGGAGACAGGAGAAUUGCUUGAACCCGGAGACGGAGUUUGCGGUGAGCCGAGAUCACACCACUGCACUCCAGACUGGGCAACAGAGUGAGACACCAUCCAAAAAAAAAAAAAAA
rnacentral:lncRNA from 1 species